UUUUUCCUCUCUCUUUUAGGUUUUGUUCCUUUUGAGAUUAGGUCUCUCUUUUGCCGAGACUAUCGACUGUUUCAUGCCUCUCCAAGUGGGGGACGGCUUUCCUUCCUCAGCCUGGCAUGAGUUUAUCCUUUCUCCUUCGAGCGGGGUUAUAGAUAAUUUUGAUUUGGUGUUUGUUUGUAUGCAGGUCUGGAGUUGAUUUUUAAGGGUCCAAAUGCAACUUGUGAUGGUUUAGUUUUCUUACUCAGCGGCGCAGUGUUCUGCUCCAAUGGCCAUGGUUCUACUAUUUGAUUUGUUAGGCUCUAUUCUAGGGAUUUGAUUUCGUGGGUAUGGCACCUCUAGGGACUUCUUCUACGCUACCUAUAGCCCUUUGUCCCUUAAUGGCAUAUAGCCGAUGAGCUCUACCAUGCCACAUCUAAUACUUUGCUGAGUUUGUCCUCUUGGUAAGCAGUGGUGAAACUCCAUGACGUCGAACUUGUGUGGGGUGUCAUCUGUGAUCUCGCCAGGCUUCAGUAGGCUUAUGAUCUACUGGCACGAGUCUAGUUUCUGCGAGUCAGAACCUCUAACUAUUGGGCUUCUGGUAUCGGGCGAUGGUUCUGAUUCCUUGGGUCUUGGGAUUCUAUUGCUCAACAGGGGCUUUCUUUGUAAUAGGGCCUGGGUCAGGGCUUUAGUUUGUUAUUGUUACUUUUUGAGGUGAAAUUGUAUGUUUGCUGAAUAAAUGAAAAUCUAUUCCUAUCUUAGACAAG
rnacentral:misc_RNA from 1 species